rnacentral:tRNA from 1 species
GUCUCUGUGGCGCGUUUGUCUGUUAACCGAAAGGUUGGUGGUUCAAACCCACCCAGGGACG